rnacentral:rRNA from 1 species
CGGACGGGUGAGUAACACGUGGAUAACCUACCUAUAAGACUGGGAUAACUUCGGGAAACCGGAGCUAAUACCGGAUAAUAUAUUGAACCGCAUGGUUCAAUGGUGAAAGACGGUUUUGCUGUCACUUAUAGAUGGAUCCGCGCCGCAUUAGCUAGUUGGUAAGGUAACGGCUUACCAAGGCAACGAUGCGUAGCCGACCUGAGAGGGUGAUCGGCCACACUGGAACUGAGACACGGUCCAGACUCCUACGGGAGGCAGCAGAA